AGAGUUUGAUCCUGGCUCAGGACGAACGCUGGCGGCGUGCCUAACACAUGCAAGUCGAGCGGGGAUUUGGGGAGCUUGCUUCCUGGAUUCUAGCGGCGGACGGGUGAGUAACGCGUGAGCAACCUGCCUUUCACAGGGGGAUAACGCAUCGAAAGAUGUGCUAAUACCGCGUAAGACCACAGCACCGCAUGGUGCAGGGGUCAAAGGAGCAAUCCGGUGAGAGAUGGGCUCGCGUCCGAUUAGCUAGUUGGUGAGAUAACAGCCCACCAAGGCGACGAUCGGUAGCCGACCUGAGAGGGUGAUCGGCCACAUUGGAACUGAGAGACGGUCCAGACUCCUACGGGAGGCAGCAGUGGGGAAUAUUGGGCAAUGGGCGAAAGCCUGACCCAGCAACGCCGCGUGAGGGAAGAAGGGUUUCGGCUCGUAAACCUCUGUCCUAUGGGACGAAAGAGAUGACGGUACCAUAGGAGGAAGCCCCGGCUAACUACGUGCCAGCAGCCGCGGUAAUACGUAGGGGGCGAGCGUUGUCCGGAAUGAUUGGGCGUAAAGGGCGCGUAGGCGGCCCGUUAAGUCUGGAGUGAAAGUCCUGCUUUCAAGGUGGGAAUUGCUUUGGAUACUGAUGGGCUGGAGUGCAGGAGAGGAAAGCGGAAUUACCGGUGUAGCGGUGAAAUGCGUAGAGAUCGGUAGGAACACCAGUGGCGAAGGCGGCUUUCUGGACUGAAACUGACGCUGAGGCGCGAAAGCGUGGGGAGCAAACAGGAUUAGAUACCCUGGUAGUCCACGCGGUAAACGAUGAAUGCUAGGUGUAGGAGGUAUCGACCCCUUCUGUGCCGCAGUCAACACAAUAAGCAUUCCGCCUGGGGAGUACGGCCGCAAGGUUGAAACUCAAAGGAAUUGACGGGGGCCCGCACAAGCAGCGGAGCAUGUGGUUUAAUUCGAAGCAACGCGAAGAACCUUACCUAGACUUGACAUGUCCUGAAUUACCAGUAAUGUGGGAAGUUCCUUCGGGAACAGGAACACAGGUGGUGCAUGGUUGUCGUCAGCUCGUGUCGUGAGAUGUUGGGUUAAGUCCCGCAACGAGCGCAACCCUUAUUGUUAGUUGGUACCAUUAAGUUGACCACUCUAGCGAGACUGCCCGGGUUAACCGGGAGGAAGGUGGGGAUGACGUCAAAUCAUCAUGCCCCUUAUGUCUAGGGCUACACACGUGCUACAAUGGCAAGUACAAAGAGAAGCAAUACUGUGAAGUGGAGCAAAACUCAAAAACUUGUCUCAGUUCGGAUUGUAGGCUGAAACUCGCCUACAUGAAGCUGGAGUUGCUAGUAAUCGCGAAUCAGAAUGUCGCGGUGAAUACGUUCCCGGGUCUUGCACUCACCGCCCGUCA
rnacentral:rRNA from 1 species